AGCGUAGGCGGGUUAUCAAGUUGGAGGUGAAAGCCCAGGGCUCAACCUUGGAAUUGCCUUCAAAACUGAUAGCCUAGAGUAUGAUAGAGGUAAGUGGAACUCCGAGUGUAGAGGUGAAAUUCGUAGAUAUUCGGAAGAACACCAGUGGCGAAGGCGACUUACUGGAUCAUGACUGACGCUGAGGCUCGAAAGCGUGGGGAGCAAACAGGAUUAGAUACCCUGGUAGUCCACGCUGUAAACGAUGAUUGCUAGUUGUCGGACGGCAUGCCGUUCGGUGACGCAGCUAACGCAUUAAGCAAUCCGCCUGGGGAGUACGGUCGCAAGAUUAAA
rnacentral:rRNA from 1 species